rnacentral:snoRNA from 1 species
CUGCUAAUGAUGAGAAAAUCAUCCUUGCUCUGCGAGCUGCGUGUGGAAUUCGAUGAAACCAGUUAUCACCGGGGUAUCUGGUCAAAUUCGGAGAUAACGCUGCAGCGGUGAACAGCGUUGGCCUCUGAAGCAG